AACGCACAUUGCGCCCCCUGGUAUUCCGGGGGGCAUGCCUGUCCGAGCGUCAUUGCUGCCCAUCAAGCACGGCUUGUGUGUUGGGUCGUCCGUCCCUGUACCGGGGACGGGCCCGAAAAGGCAGUGGCGGCACCAGGUCUGGUCCUCGAGCGUAUGGGGCUUUGUCACCCGCUCCGAUUAGGGCCAGGCUGGCAGCUAGCCGACGUCAACCAUCUUUUAGCCAGGUUGACCUCGGAUCAGGUAGGGAUACCCGCUGAACUUAA
rnacentral:misc_RNA from 1 species